GGAUUAGGCAUGCAAGUCGAGCGAGAAAGCCCCUUCGGGGGUGAGUAAAGCGGCGAAAGGGUGAGUAAUACAUGGACAAUCUACCCUCGAGACCGGGACAACCACUCUAACGGGUGGCUAAUACCGGAUGGCGCCACGAGGCCUCCUGACCUCGUGGCUAAAGGUGGGAUACUGCCGCUCGAGGAGGAGUCCAUGUCCUAUUAGCUUGUUGGUGAGGUAACGGCUCACCAAGGCUCUGAUGGGUAGCCGGACUGAGAGGUUGGUCGGUCACACUGGAACUGAGACACUGUCCAGACUCCUGCGGGAAGCUGCAGUCGAGAAUCUUCCGCAAUGGGCGAAAGCCUGACGAAGCGACGCCGCGUGGGGGAUGAAGGCCUUCGGGUCGUAAACCUCUGUCAGGGGUUAGGAAAUCCGGUGCGGUUAAUACCCGUGCCGGUUGACAAAGGCCCCAGAGUGAAGCACUGGCUAACUACGUGCCAGCAGCCGCGGUAAUACGUAGAGUGCAAACGUUGUUCGGAAUUACUGGGCAUAAAGGGCCCGUAGGUGGUGCGGAAAGUCGGUUGUGAAAGCCCCUGGCUCAACCAGGGAAUUGCAGCCGAAACUGCCGCGCUAGAGUGUGAGAGGGGAGAGUGGAACUUCCAGUGGAGCGGUGAAAUGCGUAGAUAUUGGAAGGAACGCCGGUGGCGAAAGCGACUCUCUGGCUCACUACUGACACUGAUGGGCGAAAGCUAGGGUAGCGAACGGGAUUAGAUACCCCGGUAGUCCUAGCCGUAAACGAUGGGCACUAAGUAGAGGGGUUUU
rnacentral:rRNA from 1 species